UAUUGGAUCCAAUCAGGUACUGUUAAGAGAGACCAUAGGACUUGAUUCAUUGAUAUCAAUUUUAAAGCUGAGAGGAAAUGCUUUCUCUUUUACUCAACAGAAGCAGAUUGUUGAUAUUGGCAAAACUCUGCCAUUAUUCAUGGAGCGUCAAACCUUAGGUGACAGGACGUGAAGAACCAUGCUCUGCAAAGUGUCUUGUUUUCAAUGUUGCAGGUGUGUGACACUUAUUAAAAGCUUCUUCAUGAGAAAAAAGAUGUAUGAACAU